GAAAUGAUAAGGGAGUGGGACAGAAAUCAUAUUUUAGCAAAAUUUAUUUCGUCGUCCCACCCCGGCAAGGUUGACUAGAAUUGAAAAAAGCUUGUUACAAGCGUAUUUUCAUUCAGUCAACUACUGCCAAUAUAAUAUUGUAAACUAUAGGACAUUUAUUAGU
rnacentral:ncRNA from 1 species